GGCGGCAGGCCUAACACAUGCAAGUCGAGCGCAGUCCUUCGGGACCGAGCGGCGGACGGGUUAGUAACGCGUGGGAACAUACCCUUUUCUACGGAAUAGCCUCGGGAAACUGAGAGUAAUACCGUAUAAGCCCUUCGGGGGAAAGAUUUAUCGGGAAAGGAUUGGCCCGCGUUAGAUUAGAUAGUUGGUGGGGUAAUGGCCUACCAAGUCUACGAUCUAUAGCUGGUUUUAGAGGAUGAUCAGCAACACUGGGACUGAGACACGGCCCAGACUCCUACGGGAGGCAGCAGUGGGGAAUCUUAGACAAUGGGCGCAAGCCUGAUCUAGCCAUGCCGCGUGUGUGAUGAAGGUCUUAGGAUCGUAAAGCACUUUCGCCAGGGAUGAUAAUGACAGUACCUGGUAAAGAAACCCCGGCUAACUCCGUGCCAGCAGCCGCGGUAAUACGGAGGGGGUUAGCGUUGUUCGGAAUUACUGGGCGUAAAGCGUACGUAGGCGGAUCAGAAAGUUAGGGGUGAAAUCCCGAGGCUCAACCUCGGAACUGCCUCUAAAACUCCUGGUCUUGAGUUCGAGAGAGGUGAGUGGAAUUCCAAGUGUAGAGGUGAAAUUCGUAGAUAUUUGGAGGAACACCAGUGGCGAAGGCGGCUCACUGGCUCGAUACUGACGCUGAGGUACGAAAGUGUGGGGAGCAAACAGGAUUAGAUACCCUGGUAGUCCACACCGUAAACGAUGAAUGCCAGUCGUCGGGCAGUAUACUGUUCGGUGACACACCUAACGGAUUAAGCAUCCGC
rnacentral:rRNA from 1 species